GAUGGAUGGAUGAUGGAUGGAUGGAUGGAUGAUGGAUGGAUGGAUGGGGAUAAAGAGCAUCUGUUAGGUCAGACUCUUCACGUAGGCUACACUAAGACACAUCAGUUGUCAUCUAUAAUUUAGGUGAACAGUUAGACUUGUGGGGAAGGAUACAGUUGGUUAGUGGUAGAUAACUUCACUGGGUUUCAGAUCAGGAUGGGCAUGGGAUAUAAAGCCACUUGAGUGCACACGAGUGUGUGGGUGUUGUUUGUCCUGCCCUUAACUAGACCUGAGUGCUACGUCCAGCUAUCUGACCCGCCUGUUGUGAUUACUGUGAGCAUGUGCCCACAUGGAAGAUCACGCUUAGGACUGUUUGCACCCCUUUGUUUAGUUUCAAAGACAUGAGUAAGCCAUGGGGUAGUGCGUGCGUUUAACCUCAGCACACAGCAGAGGCAGGCCAACAUGGGCUAUAUGGUGAGACCUUUUCUUAAAGAGAAAGGAAGGCUGCACACAACCAGGGUAAGUGGAACCACUGUGGCUGUUGAUGACACAGCAUCCAUUCGAUAAUGUUUGCACUUGUCCAUUCUAAAUAAGUCUUACUUCCUGGAAUGUGACUUGGAAAUUGAGGCAGAAUAGUGCAGAGCAUCCUGUGAAGAUGAACAGGUUUCUUGGGAUGCUGGAUCUAGAGGCAUUUAUUACUGGUGCUUCUUUAGUUUCAAAAAACAUUGUAGUUUAUAACAGGAAAAGACUAACUACUUCAUUAUUUCAUUUGCUGCUAUUUGUGGUUUCUGUUGUAUUUUCAGUGCUGGGCCAGUGACCUACCACUGCACUGGAUCCUUCCUUGGGGGUGUGUGUGUCUGUCUGUCUGUCUGUACGUGUGUGCGUGCGUGUCUGUGCAUGUGUCUAUGUGUGUGUGUCUGUGUAUAUGCGUCUGCGUGUCUGUGCGUGCGUGUGUGUGUGUCUGUGUUCAUCCCUGCAUACACAUGUACAUCAGUGGCUGCACCUCUGGCCUCUGGAGGUCAGAAGACAACUCUUGGGAGCUGGUUCUCUCUCUAUACCACAUGGUUCUCUGUGGAGAGUCUCUCAUACCAAGAGACUCAUACCAAGUUCCUUUUCUGAUGAGCCAUCCCAUUGCCCCCAACUCUUCCAGCCCCACCUUUUUAAUUAAAAACAUCUGCUCAUGG
rnacentral:lncRNA from 1 species